rnacentral:rRNA from 1 species
ACGGGGGGUGCAAGCGUUGUUCGGAAUCAUUGGGCGUAAAGCGCGCGCAGGCGGCUUGGUAAGUCAGAUGUGAAAUCCCUGGGCUUAACCCAGGAAGGGCAUUUGAUACUGCCUCGCUGGAGUACGGGAGAGGGAAGUGGAAUUCCAGGUGUAGAGGUGAAAUGCGUAGAUAUGAGGAGGAACACCGGUGGCGAAGGCGGCUUUCUGGACCGAUACUGACGCUGAGGCGCGAAAGCGUGGGGAGCGAACAG